GCCCACGGCUCGGCCGGGACAAUAGCGCGCCCUCUCUCCUCUGCCCGGCCAGCCUCUCUGAACAGAGCUCUGUUGACAACUGCGGCUGCUCUCACCCCCGAAGAAUUCCAAAAAUGGAACAAUGCACGGCCGGCCUGUGACUCUCAGGCGCUGCUCGGAGCUCGGAGGCCCGGAAGGCUGUGGUUUGGGGCUGCCUUUGUAGCUGGCCGUUGGGUUGGCAUUUCAGUGGAAGCCCCGGGUGGAGGAGAAAGAAGAGGAAAUAAAGAAAACCUAAACUGCCCUGUAAAGAAGACGGUAUUGCUCUGGCUGGACGGUCCCCAAGGUGAGGACACCGCGUUACCAGGAUGAGCAAAUGGCGCUGGGAGGUGGAGGAGGGUGCCCCAGAGGAGACCCGGCCCAAGGCAGGAAGCCUUCCCAGGGUGGCGGCUCGCAGUCUGCAGUCACUUGCACGAGUGUCACCGUGCUUGGCUCUCAUCAGCGUCCAGGACCCAGGUGGCCCUAUCUCUGCUGUGCCCACAGGGAGCGGAAGCUCUGAGAAGAGACUCAUUUGCUGGGGGUCGCUGCGGGGCAGAGCAGGGACUUGAGCCCACGGCUUUGGGCUUUCCUUUCAGGGCAUCUCCACACCCUGCGCCUAUUUCCACUUCAGAGGCCAGAUUCCGCCCCCCUCCCCCCUACAGCUUUGGAAAGUCCCUUGGGUUUGCCCUGAAAGACAGGGCUUCAAUCAAGGACUUUCUGUGUAUCUGGCAGCCUCGCGGCCCGUGGACAGGGCUGGGUCCUGGGCUCUGCAGGACCUUUAUGGAUUGAAUUAUGUCCCCCAAAAUGUGAGCUGCGAUCCAAACCCCCAUGGGUGUGGUCUCGUUUGGGAAUAGGGUUUCCUUUGUUAUGUUAAUGAGGCCAUUAUCGGUGUAGGGUGUGUCCUAAACCCAAUAACUUCUGAGCCACAAGGAGCAACAGAGACAGGAAGGAUGAACAGAGAAGACUGAUGCCACGUGGAGGUGGCCAAGAAGAACGCUAGAGAAGCCCAGACCAGGACCUCUUCCGAGCUGACAGAGCCCUGAAUUCGGACGUCAAGUCUCCUGAACCGAGAAAAUAAAUUUCUGUUCUUUAAA